rnacentral:rRNA from 1 species
UACGUAGGUGGCAAGCGUUUGUCCGGAAUUAUUGGGCGUAAAGCGCGCGCAGGCGGCCUUUUAAGUCUGAUGUGAAAUCUUGCGGCUCAACCGCAAGCGGUCAUUGGAAACUGGGAGGCUUGAGUACAGAAGAGGAGAGUGGAAUUCCACGUGUAGCGGUGAAAUGCGUAGAUAUGUGGAGGAACACCAGUGGCGAAGGCGACUCUCUGGUCUGUAACUGACGCUGAGGCGCGAAAGCGUGGGGAGCAAACAGG